CAGUCGCCGCGGGAAUACGAAGGGGGCUAGCGUUGUUCGGAAUUACUGGGCGUAAAGCGCACGUAGGCGGACUUUUAAGUCAGGGGUGAAAUCCCGGGGCUCAACCUCGGAACUGCCUUUGAUACUGGAAGUCUUGAGUGUGGAAGAGGUAAGUGGAAUUGCGAGUGUAGAGGUGAAAUUCGUAGAUAUUCGCAGGAACACCAGUGGCGAAGGCGGCUUACUGGUCCACAACUGACGCUGAGGUGCGAAAGCGUGGGGAGCAAACAGGAUUAGAUACCCGUGUAGUCCCUGUCUCUUAUAC
rnacentral:rRNA from 1 species